UCGCCAGGACUCCGAGCGCAGUAGUAAAACCCUCGCUUUGGACUGUACUGGCGCGGCCCUGCCGUAAAACCCCCAACUUCUGAAAAUUUGACCUCGGAUCAGGUAGGAAUACCCGCUGAACUUAAGCAUAUCAAUAAGCGGAGGAA
rnacentral:rRNA from 1 species